rnacentral:rRNA from 1 species
AGUCAACCUACCCUAUGGACGGGAAUAACCUCGGGAAACGAGAAUAAUGCCCGAUAGAACAUUAUGCCUGGAAUGGUUUAUGUUCCAAAUGAUUUAUCGCCGUAGGAUGGGACUGCGGCCUAUCAGUUUGUUGGUGAGGUAAUGGCCCACCAAGACUAUUACAGGUACGGGCUCCGAGAGGAGUAGCCCGGAGAUGGGUACUGAGACACGGACCCAGGCCCUAUGGGGCGCAGCAGGCGAGAAAACUUUGCAAUGUGUGAAAGCACGACAAGGUUAAUCCGAGUGGUUUCUGCUAAAGGAACCUUUUGACAGUCCUAGAAACACUGUUGAAUAAGGGGUGGGCAAGUUCUGGUGUCAGCCGCCGCGGUAAAACCAGCACCUCAAGUGGUCAGGAUGAUUAUUGGGCCUAAAGCAUCCGUAGCCGGCUCUAUAAGUUUCGGUUAAAAUCUGUACGCUUAACGUACAGGCUGCCGGAAAUACUGCAGAGCUAGGGAGUGGGAGAGGUAGACGGUACUCGGUAGGAAGGGGUAAAAUCCUUUGAUCUAUUGAUGACCACCUGUGGCGAAGGCGGUCUACCAGAACACGUCCGACGGUGAGGGAUGAAAGCUGGGGGAGCAAACCGGAUUAGAUACCCGGGUAGUCCCAGCUGUAAACUAUGCAAACUCAAUGAUGCAUUGGCUUGUGGCCAAUGCAGUGUU